UACGUAGGGUGCGAGCGUUAAUCGGAAUUACUGGGCGUAAAGCGUGCGCAGGCGGUUCGUUAUGUCCGUUGUGAAAGCCCCGGGCUCAACCUGGGAACUGCAUUGGAAACUAACGGGCUCGAGUGUGGCAGAGGGGGGUGGAAUUCCACGUGUAGCAGUGAAAUGCGUAGAGAUGUGGAGGAACACCGAUGGCGAAGGCAGCCCCCUGGGCUAACACUGACGCUCAGGCACGAAAGCGUGGGGAGCAAACAGG
rnacentral:rRNA from 1 species